GCUGCAUUAUUUAUCUGCAAAUAUAUUGAGAAAAAAUUCCUCAGAAUAAAAAUCCUCAAAAAAUACUCAAGCGCACCCG